rnacentral:misc_RNA from 1 species
UACGUAGGGGGCGAGCGUUGUCCGGACUGAUUGGGCGUAAAGAGCUCGUAGGCGGUUUGGCAAGUCGAGCGUGAAAACUCCGUGCUCAACCCGGAGAGGCCACUCGAUACUGCCAUGACUCGAGACCGGUAGGGGAGUGCGGAAUUCCCGGUGUAGCGGUGAAAUGCGCAGAUAUCAGGAGGAACACCGGUGGCGAAGGCGGCACUCUGGGCCGGUACUGACGCUGAGGAGCGAAAGCGUGGGGAGCGAACAGG